CUAGUUGGUAGGGUAGUGGCCUACCAAAGUGGUAACGGGUAACGGGGAAUCAGGGUUUGAUUCCGGAGAGGGAGCCUUAGAAACGGCUACCACGUCCAAGGAAGGCAGCAGGCGCGCAAAUUACCCACUCUAGAUACUGGGAGGUAGUGACGAGAAAUAAUGGGGGCACCCCAAAGGGGCGCCGUCUGUAAUGAACGAAACACAAAAGCGUCGGUGAGGACCUACUGGAGGGCAAGUCUGGUGCCAGCAGCCGCGGUAAUUCCAGCUCCAGUAGUGUAUAUCAACAUUGUUGCGCUUAAAACGCUCGUAGUUGGGUUGCAGAUCGUAGAGUCGUCGCUGUAUAUGCGGCAGCUUCAGUUUGCCUCUGUAGUCCCUCCCCAAAGGAGCGCUAUGGAGGCAACUACGUGAUUGUCUAUCGGGUGCAAGGGCGGCUUUAACUAGUCGCCCCUGCCACUCCGGUAAAGUGUGCCUUGAGUAAAGCAUAAUGCUAAAAGUAAGCUAGUGUAGCUAGAGUGUAAUAGCAUGGAACGAAUAGAGACCCUAGGGUGGGGCGACACCUGCAAAGGAGGACCCAACCCGCCUCGCUCAUGACGCGAGGGGUCUAAAUGACCAAGAGGAAAGUUUGCGGGCACUCGUACUUUGGGGCGAGAGGUGAAAUUCUUAGACCCCCAAAAGACGGACUACUGCGAAGGCAUUUGCCAAAGAUGUUUCCGUUAAUCAAGAACGAAGGUCAGAGGAUCGAAGACGAUCAGAUACCGUCCUAGUUUUGACAGAAAACUCUGCCGGCGUAGGUGGGCGGCGAUCACUCCACGGGAGACGAAUCACCGCGGACCUUAGGGGAAACCUGAGCUUUCGGGCUGCUGGGAGAAUAUUGCUGCAAGGCUGAAAUUUAAAGAAAUUGACGGAGAGGCACCACCAGGAGUGGAGCUUGCGGCUUAAUUUGACUCAACACGGGGAAACUCACCGGGUCCAGACAUUGGAAGGAUUGACAGAAUGGUGGAUCUUUCAUGAUUCAGU
rnacentral:rRNA from 1 species